rnacentral:rRNA from 1 species
GUUGAAAAAAGGAAACGCUGGCGGCGUGCCUAACUGCAGUCGAGCGGAGGAGGGGUUGUCCUUUCCGUCCGCGGCAGAGGGGUGUGAAGCUCGUGAAUCUCCUGCCUGUAGGAGUGCAACAUUUCCGGGGGAACGCUGCUAAUACCGGAUGCUUGAGGUGAAAUGCGGGGAUCUUCUAACAUGGGGCUUUUAGAUGACCCUUAAUGGGAGAACCCCGGUGGAGUUACUAAGUUGUAAAGUAACGGCCAUCCGAAGGGAGUAUGAGAGGACGAACCGGCAGGGUGGACCUGACACACUGGCCUGACUCCUAGCCCAGAACUCUUUGGGGAGUAUUGGAUAGGGAUCUUACCCCAGAGACAAACAUGCGACGGGAGUGACCACCGUGAUUUGAUUAUGUUUUCCUGUACGAAAAAUCAGUCUUCUGGAAUAAACACCUCCUUUCCGUGUACGUUACUCCCUUAACAAUCCCCAGCCAAAAUCUCCGCGGCUAAUUACGGGCAUACAGGCGGGUGUAAAACGUAAAUCGGAAUUCCUUGAUCGGAAAUAAUGGGCCUACAGGUUUCUAAGGCGGAUUUCUUAAUCCCUGAGUUAAACUCCCCGGUUUCACUCGAGAAGGGUCAUUGAAAACUGGGGGAAAUUGAUGGGCAAAAUACGAGAGGUGAAUUCCAUGUGUUACCGGUACAGUGCGUAAACUGUUGGAGAACCCCCCUUGCUGAAGUUAAAUCUUCUGCUUCAGUAUCGAACCCUGGGGGGGAAACAGGGUGAAACAACCUGGAUAUCUCCCCUGGAACCUCACCCCCUAACGAUGGAUGCUAUGGGGGAAAGGGUUUCCCCCCUUUUCUGGUAAAAUAACCCCUUG